rnacentral:tRNA from 1 species
GAGCCCGUAGCUCAGCCGGUAGAGCACGAGACUUUUAAUCUUGGGGUCGCGGGUUCGACUCCCGCCGGGCUCACCA